rnacentral:rRNA from 1 species
UACGUAGGUGGCAAGCGUUGUCCGGAUUUACUGGGCGUAAAGGGCGUGCAGGCGGUUUGUUAAGUUCAGGGGGAAAGCUCCCGGCUCAACUGGGAGAGGUCCUUGGAUACUGGCAGACUUGAGGAGGGUAGAGGAGAGUGGAAUUCCCGGUGUAGUGGUGAUAUGCGUAGAUAUCGGGAGGAACACCUGUGGCGAAGGCGGCUUUCUGGGCCUUACCUGACGCUGAGACGCGAAAGCGUGGGGAGCGAACCGG